rnacentral:rRNA from 1 species
AACGAACGCUGGCGGCAUGCCUAACACAUGCAAGUCGAACGAGACCUUCCGGCCUAUUUGCGCACGUCUGCUUACCGCCUGGUAACCUGCCCUUAGGUUCCCAAUAACUCCCCUAAAGGUGUCCUCAUACCACUUAAUCUCUUCCCAGCAAAGAUUUAUCGCCUUUGGAUGGGCGCUCGUUGGAUUAGCUAGUUGGUAGGGUAAUAGCAUGCCAAGGCGAGGAUGCAUAGCUGGUCGGAGAGGAUGAUAAUCCAGAAUGGGACUGAGACACGGACCAGACUCGUACGGAAGGGAGCAGUAGGGAAUAUUGGACGAUGGGCGAAAGCCUGAUCAAGCAGUGCCGCGUAAGUGAUGAAGGCGUUAGGGUUGUAAAGCUCUCUUAGACGGGAUGAUAAUGACAGUACCGGGAGAAUAAGCACCGGCUAACUACGUG